rnacentral:tRNA from 3 species
GCCGGAGUGGUGGAAUGGCAGACGCGGCGGACUCAAAAUCCGCUGGGGGUAACCCCGUGCGGGUUCAAAUCCCGCCUCCGGCACCA